rnacentral:misc_RNA from 1 species
GAAAUGCGAUAAGUAAUGUGAAUUGCAGAAUUAGAGUGAAUCAUCGAAUCUUUGAACGCACAUUGCGCUCUUUGGUAUUCCGAAGAGCACGCCUGUUUGAGUAUCGAAAAAACCAUCACGACUUGGUCUUGGAGUUCGCUCCGAUCGACUUUGAGACGUGGAUUUGGAUUGUCCUGACGGAUUCGUUCGUUUCAGGCAGUCUCAAAAAAGAGCGUUGGAAGCUGGAUCUCCUCUUCUGGGAUCGCUGCCCGAAAUGUUAUGAAUUGAGGUCUCCUCUCGAGGGGAUAUCUUCAUUUUUCUUUCUUGCAGUUCGAGCCUGGUGGAGAACCGGUCGACCGAUAAACCCACUAACCACACGAGGGGUCGUUUGCGCGAUUCGUCGAAAACUUGGUCUCAAAUC